GUCCUACGGGGGGCAGCAGUCGGGAAUAUUGCGCAAUGGAGGAAACUCUGACGCAGUGACGCCGCGUGCAGGAAGAAGGUUUUCGGAUUGUAAACUGCUUUAGACAGGGAAGAAAAAAGACAGUACCUGUAGAAUAAGCUCCGGCUAACUACGUGCCAGCAGCCGCGGUAAUACGUAGGUGGCAAGCGUUAUCCGGAUUUAUUGGGUGUAAAGGGCGUGUAGGCGGGAGCGCAAGUCAGAUGUGAAAACUCAGGGCUCAACCCUGAGCCUGCAUUUGAAACUGUGUUUCUUGAAUGCU
rnacentral:rRNA from 1 species